UAACAUUGGUGGAGGUUGGAAGACGGAGCUGUGCCUCUCCGUUUUUCAACCAAUGGACUUCCCUGUUCCUUCUGUUUGGUAAAGUCGUUCCCUCCUCCCAGCCGCCAGAGGGCGAGACAUCGCAUGGCUUGAAGCCUAGGAGGCUCUUGAAUACGGAAGUGACUUUUCGCUACCGGAAGUUCGUGGCCUCAAGGGAUGGGGGUGGUGAGAUGGCGUUCCGGUGGCUGGAAGCUGAGCAGUCGUGGUUCCGCUAGGCAAUCGUUUCCAGCUCUGAGGGUUUCAUGUGCUCAGAUGAGAAAACGGAGGCUUUUGGAGGAAGGAGCUUCUCGUAUUUACACAGCGAGAAACUCCUCAGACACGCGCGCUUCCCAUACGAUUCACCAGGACAAAGGGACGAUCCUUGAGGGUAUUUGCUCCGCCUGAGGAAUCCCUGAGAUCCUGACGUGCUGCUUCUGCUCCAGAAGCAUAGAGGGCUCCCUACUGCCUACAGAAUUAAGUUCGGACUUCUGGCUCUGUAAUUCAAGGUCCUCUGUGACCACGCUGCACUGUGAGCUCCCUGAGAACUCAGAGGGACUCACCUCUGCAUCACCAACAUCUACCAUGGGCUAUAGCCACAAUGGAGUCUUGCCCUGUCACCUAGGCCAGAGUGCAGUGG